UACGUAGGGGGCAAGCGUUUGUCCGGAAUCAUUGGGCGUAAAGGGCUCGUAGGCGGUUUGUCGCGUCGGGAGUGAAAACCAGGUGCUUAACACCUGGCGUGCUUUCGAUACGGGCAGACUAGAGGUAUUCAGGGGAGAACGGAAUUCCUGGUGUAGCGGUGAAAUGCGCAGAUAUCAGGAGGAACACCGGUGGCGAAGGCGGUUCUCUGGGAAUGACCUGACGCUGAGGAGCGAAAGCGUGGGGAGCGAACAGG
rnacentral:rRNA from 1 species